rnacentral:rRNA from 1 species
AACACAUGCAAGUCGAGCGAUAUAGCGGCGAACGGGUGAGUAACACGUUGGAACCUGCCCCAGACUCAGGGAUAGCCCACCGAAAGGUGGAUUAAUACCGGAUGCCCCAGCAAUGGGAAAGAUUUAUCGGUCUGGGAGGGGCCUGCGCAGUAUCAGCUUGUUGGUAAGGUAAUGGCUUACCAAGGCUACGACGCUUAACUGGUCUGAGAGGAUGAUCAGUCACAAUGGAACUGAGACAAGGUCCAUACUCC